UUGCUCUUCGCCCCCCCAUAAAGAGUACCUCUGCCCAGUGAUCUUAAUUUAACGGCCGCAGUACACUGACUGUGCUAAGGUAGCGCAAUAAUGUGCCUCUUAAUUAGAGGAUAGUAUGAAUGAACAAACGCAGAAAAAUCUGUCUCCCCCACAACUAUACAAAUUUAUCUCCAAGUGAAAAAGCUUUGAUACACAUUAAAGACAAAAAGUCCCUCGAAGCUUUCUCUAACCCCAUGCCCCCAAUCUAACUUAGAUUUAGUUGGGGCGACAUAGAAUCCACACAUACCUCAAUUCACGGAUCCUACUCCCACCCCACCACCACACACUAACUCAAACAAGCUACUCUAGGGAUAACAGGCUAAUAUUUCCUGAGAGUACACAUUAACGGAAAUGUUUGGCACCUCGAUGUUGGCUUAGGGUCUCCAUCUUAUGAAGAAAUAAGAUUCGAAGGUUUGUUCAACCUUUAACCCCC
rnacentral:rRNA from 1 species